rnacentral:lncRNA from 1 species
ACGGGACACCUGCAUCUGCCAACAAGACUGGAAGCAGAAAGGGACAGAGACGGCGAAGUUUGACGGUCUGGAAAGCAGAGACCAGCAGGGCUGACUGCUUGGGAGCACCAAAUAUCCGGACAGCGCCUCUCGGGAGGUCCGAGAAGAGAACCGCGAUCUGUUUCAGCACCGGGGCUCAGGACAGUUCCCAGCGGGCUCCGUUUCGUCUCCAGAACCCUGGACAGCUCCUCCAGACUUCGGUGAGAAACCUUGUGCCAAGCAUUUUACAUACAUCAUAUCAUGCCAUCUUCAACCCUAGGACAUGGGUGUUACUGUGCCCAUGUGACAUUUGGGGAACCCAAGGCCCUGAGAAAGGCAGAAAAAUAACCCACGCAGGGACUCUCAGCCCACAAGUGAAGCUACCCUGCUUCUCUCCAGGAGAACCGGGAAUGGAAAACAGGGAGGCAGCACAGAGGCAGGAAACUCAGGUGUCAUAGCUUGGCUCAGAUCCAAUUCUCUCCCCUUGAAAGUGGGCUAGACUUGGCAAAUACGAUGUGGCAGAAGUGACACUAUGACUUCUGAGGCUGCGUGAUAAGAGGUGAUACGAUACAGCUUAUGCCUGGUUCUCUCUCUGGAUGCUUGCUCCUGGGACCCAGCAGCCAUCUUGUGAGGAAGCUCAAGCUACAUGGAGGUGUUCCUGCCGGCAGUCCCAGUUGAGGUCCUUCAAGAUGACUCCAACCCCAGCCUCCUUCUGACUUGAACCACAUACGAACUGCCCCCAGUGAGAACUGUCUAGCAGAGUCCACUCUCAGAACCAUGACAAGUAAUAAUAAUAGGUUGUUGUUUAUGUCAGU